rnacentral:tRNA from 1 species
GGGGCCGUAGGGUAGCUUGGACCAUCCUCUCAGCCCGGGGCGCUGGUGACCCGAGUUCAAAUCUCGGCGGCCCCACCA